rnacentral:tRNA from 4 species
GCGUCCUUAGCUCAGUUGGUAGAGCGUCGCCCUUACAAGGCGAAUGUCGGCGGUUCGACCCCGUCAGGACGCACCA